CGGGGUGGGGCGCUACCAUGCAGUCGAGCGGAUGAGGGAGCUUGCUCCUGGAUUCAGCGGCGGACGGGUGAGUAAUGCCUAGGAAUCUGCCUGGUAGUGGGGGAUAACGUCCGGAAACGGGCGCUAAUACCGCAUACGUCCUGAGGGAGAAAGUGGGGGAUCUUCGGACCUCACGCUAUCAGAUGAGCCUAGGUCGGAUUAGCUAGUUGGUGGGGUAAAGGCCUACCAAGGCGACGAUCCGUAACUGGUCUGAGAGGAUGAUCAGUCACACUGGAACUGAGACACGGUCCAGACUCCUACGGGAGGCAGCAGUGGGGAAUAUUGGACAAUGGGCGAAAGCCUGAUCCAGCCAUGCCGCGUGUGUGAAGAAGGUCUUCGGAUUGUAAAGCACUUUAAGUUGGGAGGAAGGGCAGUAAGUUAAUACCUUGCUGUUUUGACGUUACCAACAGAAUAAGCACCGGCUAACUUCGUGCCAGCAGCCGCGGUAAUACGAAGGGUGCAAGCGUUAAUCGGGAAUUACUGGGCGUAAAGCGCGCGUAGGUGGUUCAGCAAGUUGGGAUGUGAAAUCCCCGGGCUCAACCUGGGAACUGCAUCCAAAAACUACUGAGCUAGAGUACGGUAGAGGGUGGUGGAAUUUCCUGUGUAGCGGUGAAAUGCGUAGAUAUAGGAAGGAACACCAGUGGCGAAGGCGACCACCUGGACUGAUACUGACACUGAGGUGCGAAAGCGUGGGGGAGCAAACAGGAUUAGAUACCCUUGGUAGUCCACCGCCGUAAACGAUGUCGACUAGCCGUUGGGAUCCUUGAGAUCUUUAAGUGGCGCAGCCUAACGCGAUAAGUCGACCCGCCUGGGGAGUACGGCCGCAAGGUUAAAACUCAAAUGAAAUUGACGGGGGCCCGCACAAGCGGUGGAGCAUGUGUUUUAAUUCGAAGCAACGCGAAGAACCUUACC
rnacentral:rRNA from 1 species